GGUACUAAACUUGGGAUAUCUCCUUUCCAACAAAAAAAGAAUUAUCAAAAUCGGUACAUCCAGUAGAAAGUUAUGCGGUAUAAUACAACGUAGAUCGACGAAAAAAGCGUCAAGUAAAAACGCAUUAUUAGAUAUAACUCGAAAAGUUAUUGUUAGAUCUCAAAUAAAUUUAAAUGGGACCAAAUGACACACACCACCUUUCGAUUAAAAGAAAAUUUGUCGAAAUCGCUCCACCCA
rnacentral:misc_RNA from 1 species